rnacentral:pre_miRNA from 1 species
UUUUAUGAAUGAGCAAAAAAAAAGUAAUUUCUUGUGAUAGAAUUUAUGCCUGGUGAAGAUACCCUGAA